rnacentral:rRNA from 1 species
ACGCUGGCGGCAGGCCUAACACAUGCAAGUCGAGCGGUAGAGAGAAGCUUGCUUCUCUUGAGAGCGGCGGACGGGUGAGUAAUGCCUAGGAAUCUGCCUGGUAGUGGGGGAUAACGUUCGGAAACGGACGCUAAUACCGCAUACGUCCUACGGGAGAAAGCAGGGGACCUUCGGGCCUUGCGCUAUCAGAUGAGCCUAGGUCGGAUUAGCUAGUUGGUGAGGUAAUGGCUCACCAAGGCGACGAUCCGUAACUGGUCUGAGAGGAUGAUCAGUCACACUGGAACUGAGACACGGUCCAGACUCCUACGGGAGGCAGCAGUGGGGAAUAUUGGACAAUGGGCGAAAGCCUGAUCCAGCCAUGCCGCGUGUGUGAAGAAGGUCUUCGGAUUGUAAAGCACUUUAAGUUGGGAGGAAGGGUUGUAGAUUAAUACUCUGCAAUUUUGACGUUACCGACAGAAUAAGCACCGGCUAACUCUGUGCCACCAGCCGCGGUAAUACAGAGGCUCCAAGCGUUAAUCGGAAUUACUGGGCGUAAAGCGCGCGUAGGUGGUUUGUUAAGUUGGAUGUGAGAUCCCCGGGCUCAACCUGGGGACUCCAUUCAAAACUGACUGACUAGAGUAUGGUAGAGGGUGGUGGAAUUUCCUGUGUACCGGUGAAAUGCGUAGAUAUAGGAAGGACACACCAGUGGCGAAGGCGACCACCUGGACUAAUACUGACACUGAGGUGCGAAAGCGUGGGGAGCAAACAGGAUUAGAUACCC